UACGUAGGGACCAAGCGUUGUUCGGAUUUACUGGGCGUAAAGGGCGCGUAGGCGGCUUAACAAGUCACUUGUGAAAUCUCCGGGCUUAACUCGGAACGGCCAAGUGAAACUGUUAUGCUAGAGUGCAGAAGGGGCAAUCGGAAUUCUUGGUGUAGCGGUGAAAUGCGUAGAUAUCGAGAGGAACACCUGCGGCGAAGGCGGGUUGCUGGGCUGACACUGACGCUGAGGCGCGAAAGCCAGGGGAGCGAACGGG
rnacentral:rRNA from 1 species